UGAACAUCGUAGGCAAGUAAAACGGCUGAGCAGACACACAGGCGACGGUGGCCAGAGACACUGACGCAGCAGAACUGGGCCCGAGACUCCACUCCCGUCGUGCUGCUCACAGGCAGAGCUCCCAGCCAUUGUGCCAUGACGAAGGUGGCAGGUAUUUCCCCCAAACGGCCACAGUCAUACUUGCAGUGGCACCUGCUCUGCCUUGUGGAAGCUCGGCCCCUUCCCGUCAAGAAGUGGCGUCCGUUUCCCACCCCUGGAAGCUGGGCAGGACUCUGUGACUGCCUUGAUGGAAAGCGUGAGAUGGAUGACUUCUGAGACGUCCGGACCCGGCCACCAUAAUGUGAGGAAGCCCAAGCAGCCACCUGGAAAGGUCACCAGUGGAGGUUCCAGACACAGCCCCCAGGUGAGGUCCCAGCGGGCAGGCGGCAUCAACCGGCUGGCAGGUGAGUGAGGAAGCUUCAGGCCCUUGCAGCCCACAGCCUUGGGGCUGCCCCAGCUGACGCCGAGCUGAGCUGCGAUGAGCUGUCCCCAUCAAGUCCGGCCCCGAUUGCAGAUUCAUGAGCAAGAUAAAUCUUCCCAUGGGGGCAAUUUGUUUUGUAAACUGGAGAGCUUCCAGUUAUUUCCCACCCGAGGGGAAAGAGGACUUCAAACUAACUCAGACAUCACUUCCCUGCUCAAAUGCCUCUCAUGCUGCCAUCUCCCUCACAGCAAAAGCCUAAGUCCACACAUAACCUAAAAAACCCAUCCUGCAUGUUUGUCCCACACCACUGUCCACCAUCUCCCCCCGCCAUCACCUCUCUGACCUCAUCUUCCUCUCUCCCCACCCAUCCCUCUGCUCUAGCCACACCAGCGUCCUCGCUGAUCCCUGAAAUUACCAGGCAAGUCCAACCUCAGGGCCUUUGCACUUGCUGUUCUCUUAGCUUAGAAUGCUUUUCUCCCAGAAAUCCACAGGGCUCUCCCCUGUCCUUCAAGUCUUUGCUCAAAUGUCACGUUCUCAUUAAGCUUUUCCAUGAUGAAAGCAUUUAAACUUAUAGCUUCCCCUCACCCCCCAAAAAAUCACUACCCGUCUCCAGUUUUCUGGGUUACGUCUCUCCACAGCACCUAUCACAGUGGAACAGACUGCGUAUUUCACUUACGUUUCUUGUGUAUAGUCUGUCUAAGUUCCACGAGGGCAGGUCAGGGAUCUUCACCUGUCUUGUUCACCACUGUAUUCCCCGCCCCCAGUGCCUACAGCGGUGCCCUACAUAUGUUUGUCACUCUGUGAAUAUUUGUUGGAUAAACUGAAUGAAUGAAUGAAUGAAUGAAUGAAUUGGGGCGAGUAUUGUAGGAUAAACAGAUCCAGGGGAGAGGAAAGAGGAGGAGGACAGGAAAAGACGCCAACGCACCUCGGAAACACAAAGGCUUCUCUUUGCCCGAGGCACAACACACUUUAAAAUGAGACCAAACAAAACCCUCUCGUCCCCACAAGUAAUAAAAAAAAAAAAUUUCCGGCUAAUAUCUGCC
rnacentral:lncRNA from 1 species